rnacentral:rRNA from 1 species
CCUAACACAUGCAAGUCGAACGGGAAGCGGUGCAUAUUGCUUCGGUGAUAAUGUGCCGUGGAGAGUGGCGAACGGGUGCGUAACACGUAGGUAACCUGCCCUGAAAGGGGGGAUAACCACGGGAAACUGUGGCUAAUACCGUAUAAUCUCGCCGUGGCGGUGGUUACGGUGAGGAAAGCUGAGGCGAUUUGGGAGGGGCCUGCGGUCGAUUAGCUGGUUGGUGGGGUAAAGGCCCACCAAGGCGAUGAUCGAUAGCUGUUCUGAGAGGAAGACCAGCCACACGGGAACUGAGACACGGUUCCGACUCCUACGGGGGGCAGCAGUGAGGAAUAUUGCGCAAUGGGGGGAACCCUGACGCAGCAACGCCGCGUGGAGGACGAAGGUUUUCGGAUUGUAAACUCCUUAACUGGGGGAAGAGAGAGGACGGUACCCCAGGACGAAGACACGGCUAACUAGGUGCCAGCAGCCGCGGUAAUACCUAGGUGUCGAGCGUUAUCCGGAAUUACUGGGCGUAAAGGGUGCGCAGGCGGUGUUACAAGUCCGGCGUGAAAGCUUCUGGCUUAACUGGGAGAGGGCGUCGGAAACUGUAGUGCUAGAGUGAAUGAGAGGGGGGCGGAAAUCCCGGUGUAGUGGUGG